CUGAAAAGUUAGAGAAAAUAUAAAUAAACAUACAAUUCUGGGAGGUAAAACAAGAGUUAAAGCAGAGACUGAAUUUAUUCUUUUAAUAAAAAAUCAAAAUGUUGCAAUGCGUUUGUGUUUGUGUAUGUGUAUUCAAAUUCUACGUUGUCUCAUAUUCGGGUUUAGUCGAAAGAUAUAUAUAUAUAUAUAUAUAUAUAUAUAAAGUGCCUAGAAAAUCAACCUACCGAUGUUAGAGUAGAUUUGAUUCGUAACUUCCUCCCCGGCGCCGGGGCUGGAACCUGUACUUUUUUUCUAACUUCUACGACAACACCGCCUAGCAUUGUAUAUAUAUUAUAUGUUUGUUAACAGUCAUAGAAAAAAAGAGGGUCUGGAAAAGGAGAGAAGUGGGUGUUCUUCAAUUCUUAAUAUUAUUUACGCCAUUUUUCUCUAUUCUAUAUAAAUUUUGCCCAUUAUUCUCUUUUUUUUUAUAUUCAAAAAGCCCACUAUUCUCUAUUCUUAAAUUUUUGGCCUAUCCUUUUCUUUUCUAUUCUUUAUUUUUUUAGCCCAUUAUUCUCUAUUCUGUAAAACUCCAUCCACACCCUCAUAGAAGAUGCCAUUCUAGUUAUCUACGUUUUUUUUUAUUUUCACUUAAUUAUUAUGAUUGUAUGAUAGUUCGAUAACUUGUUUUAAGUUUUGCGUAUUUAAAACAACACAAUCAAAUGACAACGGGAGCAUUGUUUUAAGACAAUUUAUAAAUCAUAAAGAAAUGAUAAUUAUUUGUGCCUUAUUAUAUUGAUGGAUAUUGAUACUAGCGGUUGUCUUCUAUUGAUCUUUUCGGACCAGAUCUUUCUGUAAAAGGUGAUAAUUGUCACACUUAACUCCUGAUAAACCCCGUUGAUCGGAGAAAGGGCUACAUCUCGUCCAUGGAAUGAUAUUAUCUAUCGAUUUUGUUUGAUUUCAUUGGUAAAUUGUGUGUCAAUUAUGACACGUGACUCACUGGUUCUUUGUUUGUAAUUUUUAACUUUAACAAGAAAGUUUUUGCAGAGGACGCUUCAUGAAGCACACGGAGUUCAACAUCUCGUGAAAGGACUUAACGGAUAAGGAAAAUAUUCUUCAAUAG
rnacentral:lncRNA from 1 species